rnacentral:rRNA from 1 species
UACGGGGGGGGCAAGCGUUGUUCGGAAUUACUGGGCGUAAAGGGCUCGUAGGCGGCCAACUAAGUCGGAUGUGAAAUCCCCAGGCUUAACCUGGGAACUGCAUCCGAUACUGGAUGGCUUGAAUCCGGGAGAGGGAUGCAGAAUUCCAGGUGUAGCGGUGAAAUGCGUAGAUAUCUGGAGGAACACCGGUGGCGAAGGCGGCAUCCUGGACCGGCAUUGACGCUGAAAAGCGAAAGCCAGGGGAGCAAACGGG